rnacentral:rRNA from 1 species
AUACGGAGGGGGUUGGCGUUGUUCGGAAUUACUGGGCGUAAAGCGCACGUAGGCGGAUUGGAAAGUUGGGGGUGAAAUCCCAGGGCUCAACCCUGGAACUGCCUCCAAAACUAACAGUCUAGAGUUCGAGAGAGGUGAGUGGAAUUCCAAGUGUAGAGGUGAAAUUCGUAGAUAUUUGGAGGAACACCAGUGGCGAAGGCGGCUCACUGGCUCGAUACUGACGCUGAGGUGCGAAAGCGUGGGGAGCAAACAGGAUUAGAAACCCUAGUAGUCC